UACGUAGGGCGCAAGCGUUAUCCGGAAUUAUUGGGCGUAAAGAGCUCGUAGGCGGUUUGUCGCGUCUGCCGUGAAAGUCCGGGGCUCAACUCCGGAUCUGCAGUGGGUACGGGCAGACUGGAGUGUGGUAGGGGAGACUGGAAUUCCUGGUGUAGCGGUGGAAUGCGCAGAUAUCAGGAGGAACACCGAUGGCGAAGGCAGGUCUCUGGGCCACUACUGACGCUGAGAAGCGAAAGCAUGGGGAGCGAACAGG
rnacentral:rRNA from 1 species